CCUACGGGUGGCAGCAGUGAGGAAUAUUGGUCAAUGGACGAGAGUCUGAACCAGCCAAGUAGCGUGAAGGAUGACUGCCCUAUGGUUUGUAACCUUCUUCUAUAUGGGAAUAAAACAACUGAUGUAUUCACUAUUGUAUGUACCAUAUCAAUAAAGAUCGGCUAACUCCGUGCCAGCAGCCGCGGUAAUACGGAGGAGCCGAGCGUUAUCCGGAUUGAUUGGGUUUAAAGGGAGCGUAGGUGGAUUGGUAAGUCAGUUGUGAAAGUUUGCGGCUCAACGGUAAAAUUGCAGUUGAAACUGGCAGUCUUGAGUACAGUAGAGGUGGGCGGAAUUCGUGGUGUAGCGGUGAAAUGCGUAGAUAUCACGAAGAACUCCGAUUGCGAAGGCAGCUAACUGGACUGCAACUGACACUGAGGAUCGAAAGUGUGGGUAUCAAACAGGAUUAGAUACCCUGGUAGUC
rnacentral:rRNA from 1 species